rnacentral:lncRNA from 1 species
UUUUUUUCGGAAAUAAAUUAUUUGAUUCUUCACUUGAAAAAAAUAUAUCUGUCAUUCAAGGAAGAAAACAAUCUGAAAGGGAAUAUUUAACAUAAACUAUAAUGCCAAACAAUGAAGGAUAUGUUGCACCACGUAAAAAAACAAAACAUGAAUUGAUCAGAGAUUUUGUUUUAGUUAAAAGGCCGAUCCCUUUGGGUAGGACAAUUUAACUUGCAAAAAAGUAAUUUGCAUGGAAUUUUCGUAGAAAAACAAGGGAAGAAAAAAAUAUUUUGAG